UACAGAGGUCUCAAGCGUUUGUUCGGGAUUCAUUGGGCGUAAAGGGUGCGUAGGCGGCGCGGUAAGUCGGGUGUGAAAUCUCGGAGCUUAACUCCGAAACUGCAUUCGAUACUGCCGUGCUUGAGGACUGGAGAGGAGACUGGAAUUUACGGUGUAGCGGUGAAAUGCGUAGAUAUCGUAAGGAAGACCAGGUGGCGAAGGCGGGUCUCUGGACAGUUCCUGACGCUGAGGCACGAAGGUCAGGGGAGCAAACGGG
rnacentral:rRNA from 1 species